rnacentral:rRNA from 1 species
CGGGGAAUAUUGCACAAUGGGCGCAAGCCUGAUGCAGCCAUGCCGCGUGUAUGAAGAAGGCCUUCGGGUUGUAAAGCACUUUCAGCGGGGAGGAAGGCGAUAAGGUUAAUAACCUUGUCGAUGGACGUUACCCGCAGAAGAAGCACCGGCUAACUCCGUGCCAGCAGCCGCGGUAAUACGGAGGGUGCAAGCGUUAAUCGGAAUUACUGGGCGUAAAGCGCACGCAGGCGGUCUGUCAAGUCGGAUGUGAAAUCCCCGGGCUCAACCUGGGAACUGCAUUCGAAACUGGCAGGCUAGAGUCUCGUAGAGGGGGGUAGAAUUCCAGGUGUAGCGGUGAAAUGCGUAGAGAUCUGGAGGAAUACCGGUGGCGAAGGCGGCCCCCUGGACGAAGACUGACGCUCAGGUGCGAAAGCGUGGGGAGCAAACAGG